UAAUCAGCAAUGAACAAGAAAGUAAUGUCUUAAUGGUGUUUAGAAAGAGAAUACAUGACUGAAAUAUUUUCCGCCAUUGAAAUGUGAAGGUAGCUUGGGAGCUGGUAUUUUGAAAUUUAGUAAAAAUACCCGGAAUGUCAUUUCGUUAACAAUGAUUUUAAGUGGGGUUUAACAAACCCAAGUUAGGUGGUACCGCGAUUAAAUCGUCCUAUUU
rnacentral:ncRNA from 1 species